AGUGAACGCUGGCGGUAGGCCUAACACAUGCAAGUCGAACGGCAGCACAGGAGAGCUUGCUCUCUGGGUGGCGAGUGGCGGACGGGUGAGGAAUACAUCGGAAUCUACUUUUUCGUGGGGGAUAACGUAGGGAAACUUACGCUAAUACCGCAUACGACCUACGGGUGAAAGCAGGGGAUCUUCGGACCUUGCGCGAUUGAAUGAGCCGAUGUCGGAUUAGCUAGUUGGCGGGGGAAAGGCCCACCAAGGCGACGAUCCGUAGCUGGUCUGGGAGGAUGAGCAGCCACACGGGAACUGAGGCACGGUCCCGACUCCUACGGGAGGCAGCAGUGGGGAAUAUUGGGGAAUGGGCGAAAGCCUGACCCAGCGACGCCGCGUGGGGGAUGAAGGUCUUCGGAUCGUAAACCCCUGUCAGGAGGGAUGAUGGGUCUGUGGGCUAAUAUCCCACAGAUUUGACAGUACCUCCAGAGGAAGCCCCGGCUAACUCCGUGCCAGCCGCCGCGGUAACAC
rnacentral:rRNA from 1 species